rnacentral:rRNA from 1 species
AUUGAACGCUGGCGGCAGGCCUAACACAUGCAAGUCGAGCGGUAGAGAGAAGCUUGCUUCUCUUGAGAGCGGCGGACGGGUGAGUAAUGCCUAGGAAUCUGCCUGGUAGUGGGGGAUAACGUUCGGAAACGGACGCUAAUACCGCAUACGUCCUACGGGAGAAAGCAGGGGGCCUUCGGGCCUUGCGCUAUCAGAUGAGCCUAGGUCGGAUUAGCUAGUUGGUGAGUUAAUGGCUCACCAAGGCGACGAUCCGUAACUGGUCUGAGAGGAUGAUCAGUCACGCUGGAACUGAGACACGGUCCAGACUCCUACGGGAGGCAGCAGUGGGGAAUAUUGGACAAUGGGCGAAAGCCUGAUCCAGCCAUGCCGCGUGUGUGAAGAAGGUCUUCGGAUUGUAAAGCACUUUAAGUUGGGAGGAAGGGUUGUAGAUUAAUACUCUGCAAUUUUGACGUUACCGACAGAAUAAGCACCGGCUAACUCUGUGCCAGCCGCCGCAGUAA